rfam:Cavia porcellus supercont2_10 genomic scaffold, whole genome shotgun sequence.
UUCCUUCAAUUCAUAAGCAUGAUGAUUGAGUGUUCAAGCCAUAUGCAUAAACUGUGCCUCCCUUAAACCUUGUUACAAUGUUGGCACAUUACCCACCUGACA